rnacentral:tRNA from 1 species
UGUCCGGGCAGAUGGCGGCAAAAUACGUCGAAGACAUCCAGGAAAUGUCGAACGGCGAGAUCGAAGUCGAGAUGUUCUACUCGUCCUCGGUGGUC